rnacentral:rRNA from 1 species
AUUGAACUCUGGCGGCAGGCCUAACACAUGCAAGUCGAACGAGUGGCGGACGGGUGAGUAAUGUCUGGGAAACUGCCAGAUGGAGGGGGAUACCUACUGGCAACGGUAGCUACUACCGCAUACCAUCGGAUGUGCCCAGAUGGGAUUAGCUAGUAGGUGGGGUAACGGCGCACCUAGGCGACGAUACCUAGCUGGUCUGAGAGGAUGACCAGCCAACCUGGCACUCGGACACGGUCCAGACUCCGAGGGGAGGCAGCAGUGGGGAAUAGUGCACAAUGGGCGCAAGCCUGAUGCAGCCAUGCCGCGUGUAUGAAGAAGGCCUUCGGGUUGUAAAGUACUUUCAGCGAGGAGGCGUUACUCGCAGAAGAAGCACCGGCUAACUCCGUGCCAGCAGCCGCGGUAAUAC